UUGUGUUAAGAGGCAGUGUGUGUGUUGUAUAUAUGCUGAUGUAUGUUGUAGUAUGCUGACGUAAUCCAUAUUUGUUCACUUCUAGGAUCAGGAUCUUGUUAAAACCCUGAGUUGUUUAACUAUGAUAAUCACCCCUGUGUUUGCUGAGCUCAAGCAGCAAGACACAAAUAAUGCUAACAGAAAGAAAGCAAUUGAAGAACUUGAGAAAAGCAUCAAUGUGGCAGAAGCAACGUGUCCAGGGAUCACAGAUAAGAUGGUGAAGAAACUUAUGGAGAAAUUUCAGAAAUUUUCUGUUAAUGACUCAUCCUAAGAAACUUCACACAAUUGACUGCUCUUUCGUAUGGACCCAGUGAAACCCAC